rnacentral:rRNA from 1 species
GACGAACGCUGGCGGCGUGCCUAAUACAUGCAAGUCGAGCGAAUCAAUAGGAGCUUGCUCCUGUUGGUUAGCGGCGGACGGGUGAGUAACACGUGGGCAACCUGCCUGUAAGACUGGGAUAACACCGGGAAACCGGUGCUAAUACCGGAUAAUCCUUUCCCUCUCAUGAGGGGAAGUUGAAAGUCGGUUUCGGCUGACACUUACAGAUGGGCCCGCGGGGCAUUAGCUAGUUGGUGAGGUAACGGCUCACCAAGGCGACGAUGCGUAGCCGACCUGAGAGGGUGAUCGGCCACACUGGGACUGAGACACGGCCCAGACUCCUACGGGAGGCAGCAGUAGGGAAUCUUCCACAAUGGACGAAAGUCUGAUGGAGCAACGCCGCGUGAGCGAUGAAGGCCUUCGGGUCGUAAAGCUCUGUUGUUAGGGAAGAACAAGUACCGGAGUAACUGCCGGUACCUUGACGGUACCUAACCAGAAAGCCACGGCUAACUACGUGCCAGCCGCCGCAGUAACAC